GACGAACCGGACAAACGUUAUUCGGAAUUACUGGGCUUAAAGGGUGCGUAGGCGGCGUGGAAAGCAGGGUGUGAAAUCCCUCGGCUCAACCGAGGAACUGCGCUCUGAACUACCAUGCUCGAGGAAGACAGAGGUGAGCGGAACUUAGGGUGGAGCGGUGAAAUGCGUUGAUAUCCUAAGGAACACCGGUGGCGAAAGCGGCUCACUGGGUCUUUUCUGACGCUGAGGCACGAAAGCUAGGGGAGCGAAUGGG
rnacentral:rRNA from 1 species